UUUUAAGUCACAUAUAGAAGGAAUGAAAGAUCCCACGCAGAGAGACCCUUACUCAAGUCUUGGGAAAUCGCGGACCCCAGACACAGAGAGACCA
rnacentral:pre_miRNA from 14 species